GAUGAACGCUCGCUCCAGGCUUAACACAUGCAAGUCGCGGGGCAGCAUGGGGGUUGCUUGCAAUCCCCGAUGGCGACCGGCGCACGGGUGAGUAACGCGUAUCCAACCUGCCCUUCACCACGGGAUAACCCGGCGAAAGUCGGACUAAUACCGUAUGUUGUCCAUUGACGGCAUCCGAUUUGGACGAAAGGUUUGGCGGUGAAGGAUGGGGAUGCGUCCGAUUAGCUGGACGGCGGGGUGACGGCCCACCGUGGCGACGAUCGGUAGGGGUGCUGAGAGGAAGGUCCCCCACACUGGAACUGCGACACGGUCCAGACUCCUACGGGAGGCAGCAGUGAGGAAUAUUGGGCAAUGGGCGUAAGCCUGAACCAGCCAAGUAGCGUGCAGGAUGACGGCCCUAUGGGUUGUAAACUGCUUUUAUGCGGGGAUAAAGUGGCCCACGUGUGGGUUUUUGCAGGUACCGCAUGAAUAAGGACCGGCUAAUUCCGUG
rnacentral:rRNA from 1 species